rnacentral:rRNA from 1 species
UACAGAGGUCUCAAGCGUUGUUCGGAUUCAUUGGGCGUAAAGGGUGCGUAGGUGGCGAGGUUAGUCAGGUGUGAAAUCUCGGGGCUCAACCCCGAAACUGCACUUGAUACUGCCUUGCUAGAGUACUGGAGAGGAGAUUGGAAUUUACGGUGUAGCAGUGAAAUGCGUAGAUAUCGUAAGGAAGACCAGUGGCGAAGGCGAAUCUCUGGACAGUUACUGACACUGAGGCAACGAAGGCCAGGGGAGCAAACGGG